CUAACAGAAAACUUAAUGACUUCAACUUAAAUUGCAUACUAACCUAGAAUUUGGGCUACUUAGUAAUUAAAACCUUGUGAGCUUUUGAAAUUCUUAUCAGUUAUGUACUUGAAAUUAGACUUUCAUUUCAAAAAAAAAAAAAAAGGGAAUUGAAGUUUGUGGGUAACUUCACUGCAAACCCUCACGAGACAACACUCGUCCACUAGGGUAACCUAGGGGUUUAAAGGCUUGUUGCACGUGCUAAGUGCAAUCGUAAUGCUCUACGAAAAUGAGUAUUUAUCUUAGUAUAUUUAUAUAAUAAAUUACACUUUUGCACUCUUAUUUUCGCACUAAAUUGCUAGAGACUAGCAAUAAGCUAGUUGGGGGGUGUGAUGAGAGCACAAAAGUGCGACCUAUAUGUCACUAAAAUUAGUGUUAUUGCUAAACCAAUAAUGAUAAAUUAACUGGAUUAAUAUUAUAUUUGGGUU
rnacentral:lncRNA from 1 species